UACGUAGGGUGCAAGCGUUGCCCGGAUUUAUUGGGCGUAAAGGGCGCGUAGGCGGCUCGGCACGUCCGUUGUGAAAUCGCCCGGCUCAACUGGGCGGGGUCAGCGGAUACGGUCGAGCUUGAGCAAGCUAGGGGGCAAUGGAAUUCCCGGUGUAGUGGUGGAAUGCGUAGAUAUCGGGGGGAACACCAGUGGCGAAGGCGGUUGCCUGGGGCUUUGCUGACGCUGAUGCGCGAAAGCGUGGGGAGCGAUCCGG
rnacentral:rRNA from 1 species